AUUGAACGCUGGCGGCAGGCCUAACACAUGCAAGUCGAGCGGAUGAAGGGAGCUUGCUCCUGGAUUCAGCGGCGGACGGGUGAGUAAUGCCUAGGAAUCUGCCUGGUAGUGGGGGAUAACGUCCGGAAACGGGCGCUAAUACCGCAUACGUCCUGAGGGAGAAAGUGGGGGAUCUUCGGACCUCACGCUAUCAGAUGAGCCUAGGUCGGAUUAGCUAGUUGGUGGGGUAAAGGCCUACCAAGGCGACGAUCCGUAACUGGUCUGAGAGGAUGAUCAGUCACACUGGAACUGAGACACGGUCCAGACUCCUACGGGAGGCAGCAGUGGGGAAUAUUGGACCAUGGGCGAAAGCCUGAUCCAGCCAUACCGCGUGUGUGAAGAAGGUCUUCGGAUUGUAAAGCACUUUAAGUUGGGAGGAAGGGCAGUAAGUUAAUACCUUGCUGUUUUGACGUUACCAACAGAAUAAGCACCGGCUAACUUCGUG
rnacentral:rRNA from 1 species